UACGUAGGUGGCAAGCGUUGUCCGGAUUUAUUGGGUUUAAAGGGUGCGUAGGCGGCUUUGUAAGUCAGUGGUGAAAUCUCCGAGCUUAACUUGGAAACUGCCGUUGAUACUAUCUGUCUUGAAUAUUGUGGAGGUGAGCGGAAUAUGUCAUGUAGCGGUGAAAUGCUUAGAUAUGACAUAGAACACCAAUUGCGAAGGCAGCUCGCUACACAUAUAUUGACUCUGAGGCACGAAAGCGUGGGGAUCAAACAGG
rnacentral:rRNA from 1 species